rnacentral:snoRNA from 1 species
AAGCCAUGAGGAUAUUUGCGCCUCUGUGAUUGUAGGGUCUAUCGCAACCGUCUGAUCUUCAAGACGACAACAAGCGCAUCUGAGCUU